CUCAAGGCAGAGCUUUAUCUUAGACCUUUGGGGAUGUGCCUCCCAUGAAAAGAGCACCAGAAAUUCAAGGCAAUCAUCUAAAUCACUCAGAUCUUCGAUAUAAAACUUUAGAUGGUAAGUUCUGAAUCAAGUAGUUAUCAGAUUUGAUUCUUAUUUUUGGGAGUGGAAACACAACCCAUAGCCUGCAGAAUUGCCAUGUUCCAUAAAAUAUAAAUAUUGACUUCUCUUUAACUACUCAUCAGCUUCGAUGUUCAGGAAAGUCUAAAGAAAGGUUGCCAAAAUGCCUGGUUUUUGGAUUUGAACUGGUGGAUGCUAAGAAAGGUUAGGGGAAAUUCAGUUUAUGGGGAGAUGUACUCUUGGUCAGUAAGGUCAGGAAUCCCAACAGCUGGUUAAUUAGAAAGUCUCAGAUCAUUUCCACCUGUGCACAGAGACAUAUGUCAUUUGCGAG
rnacentral:lncRNA from 1 species